UGGGGAAUUUUGGACAAUGGGCGCAAGCCUGAUCCAGCCAUGCCGCGUGCGGGAAGAAGGCCUUCGGGUUGUAAACCGCUUUUGUCAGGGAAGAAAUCUUCUGAGUUAAUACCUCGGGAGGAUGACGGUACCUGAAGAAUAAGCACCGGCUAACUACGUGCCAGCAGCCGCGGUAAUACGUAGGGUGCAAGCGUUAAUCGGAAUUACUGGGCGUAAAGCGUGCGCAGGCGGUUUUGUAAGACAGAGGUGAAAUCCCCGGGCUCAACCUGGGAACUGCCUUUGUGACUGCAAGGCUUGAGUGCGGCAGAGGGGGAUGGAAUUCCGCGUGUAGCAGUGAAAUGCGUAGAUAUGCGGAGGAACACCGAUGGCGAAGGCAAUCCCCUGGGCCUGCACUGACGCUCAUGCGCGAAAGCGUGGGGAGCAAACAGGAUUAGAUACCCUGGUAGUCCACGCCCUAAACGAUGUCAACUGGUUGUUGGGAAGGUUCCUUCUCAGUAAACGUAGCUAACGCGUGAAGUUGACCGCCUGGGGAGUACGGCCGCAAGGUUGAAACUUAAAUGAAUUGACGGGGUCAUAGCUGUUUCCU
rnacentral:rRNA from 1 species